GUGUAUAGAUGCUAGAUCUUCCACUGCAUUUGGGUAAAAGCAAAGAGCAACGUACCAGAGAGGUGAAGAUGUAGGUGUAGUAGAUCGACAACAUCCCCAGCUCCGAUGCCUGCAGACAAAAGAGGGGAAAGUAAAUGAAAGAUUUGGAUUCGGAGAGAAAAGGCAUGAAGACAAAUUGCAACGUAGAGCCGGAGAGAGCAACGGAUAAGAAGGGGUGAAAGGAGCGGCGUGGGGUCCUGGCUGUCGUCGAGCAUGCGCACUGACAGCGUCUCCUUGGAAAUGAGGAACUGCCUGAGGAGCUGCUCCAGAUAUUGCUGAUGAUGGAGUUGGAGGCCGGGCUAGCAGAGGGACCAAGGACUGCCACCACCCCUUUGGACAUGAUCUGGCACACUGAAAGAACAAAAAAGAAGGUUGUUACAUUCUCAGGAAGCUACUACAUCUUGGGGGUCCUCGGGAUUCUUUUCCUAAACUUGUUAGGAAUGGAAUAUUUUCCAUUCUGUUUUGGAUACGUAGUGCAAUAUAUUUGUGCUUGUUGAUAACAGAGAGAUAAGGCACAAUCCAAAGACCUUUCACUUGGAAUAAAUACACCUCAUACUUUCUAAUGAAUUAGUAACCACACAUAGUUUCAUUAUGGGUCAUCUUCCUAUCUCUGGGCCUGAGCAUCGGACCAGGACUGAUGGAAACCAGAUCAAACCACCAAAUGGUUAACAUGAAGCUUUCUGAUCAUCGGCUCCACCUCUACCGAGGGUUUAUGGGACAGAGACGUCUAUUUCCAUAGCCCAAUUUUCAUGAGUGGUGCACCCACGUCUCUGUGAGAAUUCUCUUUUUUGCUUCUACAUGAUUAAAGUCAUUUAUGGAGUUACCUCCGGGUUCUCCGGCUUCCUCCCAAAUUCCCAAAACAUACUUGUUAGGUUAAUUGGCAACUCUAACUUGUGUUUGUCUAUAUGUGCCAUGCCAUUGGCUGGCUACCAGUCCAGGGUGUACCCCGCCGCUCACCCAUCGUCAGCUGGGAUAGGCUCCAACACACCCCCUUGACCCUAGCGAGGAUAAGCAGCAUAGAGAAUGAAUAAAGAAAUUUAUUUAUUGAGGGAAAUAACGGUUAAAAUAUCCUUACUUUAAUAUUUGUGCCUUGCAAAACAACAGGGAGUGUUUUUUUGCAUGAAACCUAGAUAAUAAUGUUGUGGCAUAAUGUUAAUCUUGUUAUAGUUAUAAGAUUGUUUUUUUUUUAAAUAAUGUUUUCAACAACUUCUACGCACAAAUAGCGAGAACUCUUAAUGGUUGAUACAAGUUCCAGCAUCAAGGAGGUGUGAUGGACAAACACAAUAAAAGGCGCAGGAAAGGCUGUAAAAAGCAGGAAUGGGCUAUGAUAACAACAGCAGCUUAAUUCAACCAUUAGCCACAAUCUUAACUAUUUGAACUCACACACACUUUCUAUGCUUCACCUUUGGGGGUGAAUACAAAUAAAACCAAAUAAUACAGUGAAUGUGAUUUCAUUUGUCUAUCCACACCAUAUAUGUAUAUUUGA